rnacentral:rRNA from 1 species
CGAAUUCCAAGCUUAGAGUUUGAUCAUGGCUCAGAUUGAACGCUGGCAGCAUGCCUUACACAUGCAAGUCGAACGGUAACAGGUCUUCGGAUGCUGACGAGUGGCGAACGGGUGAGUAAUACAUCGGAACGUGCCCGAUCGUGGGGGAUAACGGAGCGAAAGCUUUGCUAAUACCGCAUACGAUCUACGGAUGAAAGCGGGGGAUCUUCGGACCUCGCGCGGACGGAGCGGCCGAUGGCAGAUUAGGUAGUUGGUGGGAUAAAAGCUUACCAAGCCGACGAUCUGUAGCUGGUCUGAGAGGAUGAUCAGCCACACUGGGACUGAGACACGGCCCAGACUCCUACGGGAGGCAGCAGUGGGGAAUUUUGGACAAUGGGGGCAACCCUGAUCCAGCCAUGCCGCGUGCAGGAUGAAGGCCUUCGGGUUGUAAACUGCUUUUGUACGGAACGAAAAGACUCUGGUUAAUACCUGGGGUCCAUGACGGUACCGUAAGAAUAAGCACCGGCUAACUACGUGCCAGCAGCCGCGGUAAUACGUAGGGUGCAAGCGUUAAUCGGAAUUACUGGGCGUAAAGCGUGCGCAGGCGGUGAUGUAAGACAGAGGUGAAAUCCCCGGGCUCAACCUGGGAACUGCCUUUGUGACUGCAUCGCUGGAGUGCGGCAGAGGGGGAUGGAAUUCCGCGUGUAGCAGUGAAAUGCGUAGAUAUGCGGAGGAACACCGAUGGCGAAGGCAAUCCCCUGGGCCUGCACUGACGCUCAUGCACGAAAGCGUGGGGAGCAAACAGGAUUAGAUACCCUGGUAGUCCACGCCCUAAACGAUGUCAACUGGUUGUUGGGUUUUAAUUAACUCAGUAACGAAGCUAACGCGUGAAGUUGACCGCCUGGGGAGUACGGCCGCAAGGUUGAAACUCAAAGGAUUGACGGGACCCGCACAAGCGGUGGAUGAUGUGGUUUAAUUCGAUGCAACGCGAAAACCUUACCCACCUUUGACAUGGCAGAAGUCUCAGAGAUGGGAUUGUGCCCGAAAGGGAACCUGCACACAGGUGCUGCAUG